rnacentral:rRNA from 1 species
UACGUAAAAGACUAGUGUUAUUCAUCUUUAGUAGGUUUAAAGGGUACCUAGACGGUAUAAUUAGUCUUAAACAAGAAACGGUUAUGCUAGAGUUAUAUAUGAGAAGGGGAGUAUUUAUGGAGUAGAGUUGAAAUUCUUUGAUCCCAUAACGACUGGUAGCGGCGAAAGCAACCUUUUAUCUAAUAACUGACGUUGAGGGACGAAGGCGUCGGGUCACGAACAGG